AUAUUGCACAAUGGGGGAAACCCUGAUGCAGCAACGCCGCGUGAAGGAAGAAGUAUUUCGGUAUGUAAACUUCUAUCAGCAGGGAAGAAGAUGACGGUACCUGACUAAGAAGCCCCGGCUAACUACGUGCCAGCAGCCGCGGUAAUACGUAGGGGGCAAGCGUUAUCCGGAUUUACUGGGUGUAAAGGGAGCGUAGACGGAGCAGCAAGUCUGAUGUGAAAGACCGGGGCUUAACCCCGGGCCUGCAUUGGAAACUGUUGAUCUUGAGUGCCGGAGGGGUAAGCGGAAUUCCUGGUGUAGCGGUGAAAUGCGUAGAUAUCAGGAGGAACACCGGUGGCGAAGGCGGCUUACUGGACGGCAACUGACGUUGAGGCUCGAAAGCGUGGGGAGCAAACAG
rnacentral:rRNA from 1 species